UACAGAGGUCCCAAGCGUUUGUCCGGAUUCAUUGGGCGUAAAGGGUGCGUAGGCGGCGCGGUAAGUCGGGUGUGAAAUUUCGAGGCUUAACUUCGAAACUGCAUUCGAUACUGCCGUGCUUGAGGACUGGAGAGGAGACUGGAAUUUACGGUGUAGCGGUGAAAUGCGUAGAUAUCGUAAGGAAGACCAGUGGCGAAGGCGGGUCUCUGGACAGUUCCUGACGCUGAGGCACGAAGGUCAGGGGAGCAAACGGG
rnacentral:rRNA from 1 species